AAUCAACGCUGGCGGCGUGCCUAACACAUGCAAGUCGAGCGAGAAAAGGGGGGCAACUCCCUGAGUACAGCGGCGCACGGGUGAGUAACACGUGGGUAAUCUGCCCUGGAGUGGGGAAUAACACCGGGAAACCGGUGCUAAUACCGCAUACGAUUACGGAGUCUGCGGAUUUUGUGAUGAAAGGAGCAAUUCGCUCUAGGAGGAGCCCGCGGCUGAUUAGCUAGUUGGUGAGGUAAUGGCUCACCAAGGCAACGAUCAGUAUCCGGUCUGAGAGGACGGUCGGACACACUGGAACUGAGACACGGUCCAGACUCCUACGGGAGGCAGCAGUGGGGAAUUUUUGGCAAUGGGGGCAACCCUGACCAAGCAACGCCGCGUGGGUGAUGAAGUCUCUUGGGACGUAAAACCCUUUCGACGGGGACGAAACCGCAAGGUUGACGGUACCCGCAGAAGAAGCCCCGGCUAACUCCGUGCCAGCAGCCGCAGUAAUAC
rnacentral:rRNA from 1 species